AGUGAACGCUGGCGGUAGGCCUAACACAUGCAAGUCGAACGGCAGCGCAGUAAGAGCUUGCUCUUACGGGUGGCGAGUGGCGGACGGGUGAGGAAUACAUCGGAAUCUACUUUUUCGUGGGGGAUAACGUAGGGAAACUUACGCUAAUACCGCAUCCGACCUACGGGUGAAAGCAGGGGAUCUUCGGACCUUGCGCGAUUGAAUGAGCCGAUGUCGGAUUAGCUAGUUGGCGGGGUAAAGGCCCACCAAGGCGACGAUCCGUAGCUGGUCUGAGAGGAUGAUCAGCCACACUGGAACUGAGACACGGUCCAGACUCCUACGGGAGGCAGCAGUGGGGAAUAUUGGACAAUGGGCGCAAGCCUGAUCCAGCCAUACCGCGUGGGUGAAGAAGGCCUUCGGGUUGUAAAGCCCUUUUGUUGGGAAAGAAAAGCAGCAGGUUAAUACCCCGCUGUUCUGACGGUACCCAAAGAAUAAGCACCGGCUAACUUCGU
rnacentral:rRNA from 1 species